CUCGUAAUGCCAACGGUGGAUGCCUUGGCAGUUUGAGCCGAAGAAGGACGUAGUAGGCAGCGAUAUUCGACGGGGAGGAGUCUACAUCCUUAUGAUCCGUCGGUUUCCGAAUGGAGUAAUCCUUCCAUCAGUAAUGAUGGGAAUCCCGAGUUUUUAACGAGGGAGGGGAACCUGGGGAAUUGAAACAUCUUAGUACCCAGAGGAAAAGAGACAAAUAUGUAUUCCGUCAGUAGCGGCGAGCGAAAGCGGAGGAGCCCAAACCCUGAUUUAUUGGGGUGUUGUAGGACCCACAUAAUAAGCAUAGUAGAUAGUAGUAGAACAGCUCGGAAUAGCUGGCCAUAGAGAGUGAAAGCCUCGUAUAUGAAACUUGAAACUAGCUUUAGUGGGAUUCCUGAGUACCGCGGGACACGUGAAAUCCUGUGGGAAUCCGGCCCGGCCACGGGCCAAGGCUAAAUACUCAAACUGACCGAUAGUGAACAAGUACCGUGAGGGAAAGGUUAAAAGUACCCCUGUGAGGGGAGUGAAAUAGUACCUGAAACCGUUGGCUAACAAACUGAUAAGGGUCCGGUGUUAAAACCGGACUGAUAUUGUGCCUUUUGCAUAAUGAGCCGGUGAGUUUACUCUAGUUCCAAGUCUAAGCUAUUUUUGUAGUGGAGGCGCAGGGAAACCAAGUCUUAAAUAGGGCGAAAUAUCCUUCGAUUAUACUCAGGAUAACCCUGAGCGGAGUCGAAUGGGUUAGGAGCUGGAGUAAGACCCGAAGCUAGGUGAGCUAUCCAUGAGCAGGGUGAAGUUCUCCGAAAGGAGAAUGGAGGCCCGAACCAGUAGAUGCUGCAAAAUCUUUGGAUGACUUGUGGAUAGGGGUAAUAUGCUAAUCGUACCUAGCGAUAGCUGGUUCUUCUCGAAAUAUAUUUAGGUAUAGGCUGUUAGUUUAAGCAUUGGGGGUAGAGCACUGACUGGGGAUAGGGUGAGUAAUCGUCUUGUUUCCAACCAAACUCCGAAUACCAUUGUGUAUACUAAUGGACUCAGACAUGUUGGGCUAAGCUAAUGUGUCGAAAGGGAAACAGCCCAGACUCUCGGCUAAGGUCCCUAAAUCAAAGCUAAGUGGAUAAGAAAGUAAGUGUGUUAAGACACCCAGGAGGUUGGCUUAGAAGCAGCCAUCCUUUAAAAAUAGCGUAAUAGCUUACUGGAAUAACGCACUUGCGUCGAAAAUGAUCGGGGCUAAGCUUUGUACCGAAGCCAGAGAUUUAUUAAUCUUUUGAUUGAUGAGUGGUAGAGGAGCGUUCCAGGGGCGGUGAAGUUGAACUGAAAAGUUUAGUGGAGCGCCUGGAAGUGAGAAUGCCGGCAUAAGUAGCGAGAAUUGGGUGAGAAUCCUGAUCGCCGAAUACCCAAGGUUUCCGAGGCAACGUUCGUCGUCCUCGGGUUAGCCGGAUCUAAGUGUGCGCCGUUUUAGGCGUACUCGAUGUACAACAGGUUGAUAUUCCUGUGCUAUUUUUAGAUUGUAUUCAGCUAAGGUGUGACGGGGUGGGAUAACUGGAGUCCAGCGUUAGUUGGAUUUAAGCAGUAAGGUAGUUUCUGUUGGAAAAUCCGCAGAAAUGAUGUCACGUUUACGUGAUGUAGUCGAGCUGUGAAUAAGAUUCUUAAGAUUCGUCAAGAGAAAAUUCUGGUAAUUUCUACUUCCAAGAAAAGCAUCGUAGCUGGGUCUAAAAGUAUCCGUACCGCAAACCGACACAGGUGGGUGGGUGGAGAACACUCAGGCGAGCGGAAGAAAGAGGUUCAAGGAACUCGGCAAAAUAACUGGGCGUAACUUCGGGAGAUGCCCUGCCAAUGCCCUAGAGGUAUUGGCCGCAGUUAAAGAAGCUGAGCGGCUGUUUAACAAAAACACAGGUCUCUGCAAAGCCGAAAGGCGAAGUAUAGGGGCUGACGCCUGCCCAGUGCUGGUAAGUUAACCAUCUGUGGUUAUCACUUCGGUGAGAAGCUGUGGAUGUAAGCUCCAGUAAACGGCAGCAGUAACUAUAACUGUUCUACGGUAGCGAAAUUCCUUGUCACUUAAUUGGUGACCCGCACGAAAGGCAGAACGACUCAGCGACUGUCUUGAACCUUUGCCCGGCGAAAUUGAAAUGGCUGUGAAGAUGCGGCCUACUUGCACAAGGACGAAAAGACCCCAGAAGCUUUACUGUAACUUAACAUUGGCAAAAUUGUGAGAAUUGUCGAGAAUAGGAGGGAGUCUUCGGACAUUAGUGGAAUACCUCUCUUUCUUAUUAUUGAGCCUAACUCUAUAUUAUUAGGGAACAUUGUUUGGUGGGCAGUUUGGUUGGGGUGACCGCCACCUAAAGAGUAACGGUGGCGUACAAAGGUCGGCUUAGCGCGGAUGGAAAUCGCGUGUUAUGUGUAAAGGCAUAAGCCGGCUUAACUGUGAGACGGACAAGUCGAGCAGAUGCGAAAGCAGGUCUUAGUGAUCCUCGAUUCCACUGUGGUUGUGGAACGAGCUUAACGGAUAAAAGCUACUCUGGGGAUAACAGGUUGGUCUCCUCCAAGAGUUCAUAUCGACGAGGAGGUUCGACACCUCGAUGUCGGCUCAGCGUAUCCUGGGGGUGAAGAAGCCCCCAAGGGUUGGUCUGUUCGCCCAUUAAAACGCUACGCGAGCUGGGUUCAAACCGUCAAUUUGGCGGCUUUACGCCGAAAGGCGAAUUGCAAAAGUUGGCUCAUAUCGGUGAAAUCCUUGCACGAUUAACCUGUCGUGUGUUAGGAUAAUACCGAGGGAAGCUGAUUGGUUUUUUCGUUAUGCAAGCAACACAUAAAGCUUACAUUUCAGGAUUUCUUGAUGCGGAUGGAAGCAUCUACGUUAGGCUAAAGCCAAACGAUAGUUAUAAAUACGGCUUCCAGAUAGCACCAAGUAUUGUUUUCUUUCAAAGUAAAAAAAACGAGAGCGUCCUGAAAUAUAUAAUCAAUUUAGCCCAAGUUGGAUAUAUACAUAAUAGAAAAGAUGGAAUAGUUGAGCUAACAAUCUCUGACACAAAAGGAUUGUUAACAAUUAUUUCGCUUACCAAACCGUAUAUAGUACUAAAACAAAAGCAAAUUGAGCUAUUAGAGGUAAUUCUUAGAACUAAGCAAAAUAUUAGCUCCAGUAAAGACUUUUUACAAUUGGCUAAGCUAAUUGAUAAAUUUGAAACUUUGAAUUACUCUCAAAAUAGAAAAAUAACAAGCAAGAACGUUGCUGCAUAUAUAAAGCGAAACAAGCUAAUUUAGCCCCGUAGAGACUUUGUUCAAUCUAAGAUUGAACAAGAUAGAUAUCUUUCUGUAGAAUCUAUAAUACGCCGACUCCCUAGUCAUAUACUAGGGUAGUAGUAUAGUCCAUUCUCGUUGGUAACAACGAAUAAGAAUGCGUAAGACAGGUUGGUCUCUAUCCGGUGCAAGCGCAUUGAUACUUGAAGGGAUUUGACUCUAGUACGAGAGGACCGAGUUGAAUGAAUCCCUGGUGUACCAGUUGUUGGGGAUCUCUCCGGCAUCGCUGGGUAGCUAUAUUCAUUUAGGAUAAGCGCUGAAAGCAUAUUAAGCGCGAAGCCCUCCCUAAGAUAAGGUAUCUUUAAGACUCCUGUAAGAUUAACAGGUUGAUAGGCUCUAGGUGUAAGUUCCGUGAGGGAUUCAGCCGAGGAGUACUAAUAGUC
rnacentral:rRNA from 2 species